rnacentral:rRNA from 1 species
UACGGGGGGGGCAAGCGUUGUUCGGAAUUACUGGGCGUAAAGGGCUCGUAGGCGGCCAACUAAGUCAGACGUGAAAUCCCCAGGCUCAACCUGGGAACUGCGUCUGAUACUGGAUGGCUUGAAUUCGGGAGAGGGAUGCAGAAUUCCAGGUGUAGCGGUGAAAUGCGUAGAUAUCUGGAGGAAUACCGGUGGCGAAGGCGGCAUCCUGGACCGACAUUGACGCUGAGGAGCGAAAGCUAGGGGAGCAAACGGGAUUAGAAACCCCCGUAGUCC